rnacentral:lncRNA from 1 species
UAGACCCCAAAGUGGGUACCAAACAACAACAACAACAUACCCAGUGUAUUCCACAAAGUAUAGUCUGGAGAAGGCUAAGUGUACACAGUCCAUAUAACAACCUCAUAAAUGAGAUAGAGAUAUUAUUUUCGAUAAAUUCUCACUCAAAAAAAGUAGAUACCAAAGACCGACUAAAUUUUUUAAAAAAAUAAUAGUAGAAAAGAAUAUGGUGAAAAAUUGACUCUUGUGGUCUGUAAUCUGAGUUCCACCUGCAUAAUUGGAGAGCCAUAAAUACCUUUAUUAGCUGGACAAUGUCAAAGUUUAAUUGGACAACAUUCAUGCAUUAGAGACAAAUUUUUACUCCAAUUCUUUACCUUUAAAGUUUUUAACUAAAUUUCAUAGUUACUAUUUUCUUUACCUCUAUGUUUCUCUGCUUAAAUAUCUAACUGAUUCGAACCCAUAACAAACAUAUAUAACCUCAUUUCAUCUCAUUUAUCGAACAUAUUUGAGUCAGACUAAAUUCACGUUCGCAUUGAAAUAUCUCAUAAGGGAGAUAAAAGGUUCCUUAACAAAAGUGAAUUUUAUAUCAAAGGGCUUGACAAGCUCUAUUAUUAUCAGACAUCAUAUUGGAGUCAAACCAAAUCUGAUUUCGCACUGAAAAAUCUCACAGACUGAUAAACCGCUCGACACUACCUAACAAACACGACUUUAUAUGUAGGGCUUAAAGGCUUUUGAAUAAAAGUACUUAUCACUCCACGAUAGUCAUCCAACGUGGUAACUAUAUAUAUAUAUAUGGGGAGAGAAAAAGUCAGAGAAAGAGAGAGACCUUGAGUGAGAAUGCAGAAAUAUUGGCUAGCAGCUGUUCCCAAGUUCAUAUUUUUACUGUACUCCCAAGUCCCUUUCAGCUUAAAUAUUCCUCAAAUAUACAAUUUAUACAACUUCUAGUCCCACCCCAUAAAUCCAAAAAAUGUCAAUCUUCUUUGGCCAAAAACUGUCCACUCAACAAACUAGUGGUUCCUAUGUGUAUGUUUUUGACAGUUUUUGUAUUAAAAAAACAAACUUUUUCCCAUUCUUGAUAAGAUAAUAAUACUUGCCCUUCAAGAAUUGCACUAUUUUUGCUUCAAAAAGUGAUUUUUAGACUAUUUUGAGUUGUGGGGUGUUCUUGUUUUUUCCCAUUUUUGAUGAGGUUAUGGAGUGAUUUUUGAGCUAUGGGGUUUUAUAAAAAAUGGGUUGGGAUUAUUUUGUGUUGUUAAAUGGGCUGAAGUUUGAAAUUUUUGACAUUGAAAAGAUACCUACAUGAUUGUUAGGGUAGGUUUAGUGGUUGCUGCUUCUAUAGCUGCUUAUGCAGUUAAGCAGAUUAAUGUAAAACCUCCAAAGUCAUCAUCCAAGAAAUCAGGUAAUUUUCUUGGUCAGUUGUGUGUUUGAGUUUCUUGAGUCGAGGGUCUAUCGGAUAUAGUCUUUCUACCUCGUUGGUAGGGUUAAGGUCUGCGUAGACACUAUCGUUUCCAGACCUCAUUUGUGGGAUUAUAUGUUGUUGUUGUUGUUGUUGUGUAUUGAAUUUCUUGAGUUGAGGGCUAUUGAAAACAGUCUUUCUACCUGACAAGGUAGGAGUAAGGUCUACAUACAUACUGCCUUUCCGGACCCCAUUUAUGGGAUUACACUGGAUAUGUUCUUGUUGUUCUUGUAGUUGUAUAUUGGAUUUCUUGAGUCGAGGGUCUAUCGGAAACAAUCUCUCUACCUCCCAAGGUAGGUGUAGGGGUAAGGUCUGCAUACACACUGCCCUUCCCAGACCUGACCCCACCUGUGGGACAUUGGGUAUUGUUGUUGUUGUUAUUGAAGGGGAGUCUUGUAUUAACUGUUAAAGUUGUCAUAUAACUAGGAGGUCAUGAUUUCAAGUUGAGGAAUCAGCCUCUCGCAUAAAUGUAAGUUAAGGCUGCGUAUAAUAAACCUUUGUGGUUCGGCCCUUCCCCGGAUGCGCACAUAGUGGGAGAUUUAGUACACCAAGAUGCCCUUUUAUGUUGUUGUUGUUGUUGUAUAUUGAAUUUGCAAUGUAUGAUUGGUUUUCGAUAUUGAUACAGUGUAAAGAUUCAAUUUUUAACGGAAUAAUUCAUCCAAAUGAGUGAUCAGAGAUUGUUCUUUUGUGCCUAAUUGAUUUUUAUGUUUUCUUAUGUAUUUGGUUAUUAGGAAAUGGUGAAGAAUUGCCUGAACAACGAGGCUAUGGAGGUGAUGAGAAGGAACAGCUCGUGUAUUCGACGGAUGGCCUCAAAGAAGUGGUUGUAAGUAUAGAGAAAUUUGUGUACUCUUUGUUUGGUUAAUAGUGUUGAUAUCUCCUUUAGCAACAAUUUGAUACUGAGUUAUAGUGUUUGUUUCAAUAUUUUUUGGAUGUUAUAGUGAAAUGGUGUUAGAGAGAAUAUAAUAUAACAUAACAUGAAAGAUUGGUUCCGCAGAAAGUAUGACUGAUAUGGUGAAAUGUUGUUAUAGAAAGGUCUGACUGUUUUUGGAUUUUGUUUCGUUUGGUGACUUGUAGGAUGAGGAAGAAGAGAAAGAAGAAGUUAAAUUAAUCAAUGGAAUUAUAAAUCCAGCACAGGGUAACCAGCUUGAUCUUGAUGAUGAUCUUUUCCCUGAAUUCGAAGAUCUUUUAUCCGGGGAGAUUGAAUUUCCGUUACCAAGUGACAAGUAUGAUACAGGAAGAGAAGAGAGAGAGAAGGUUUACCAAACUGAGAUGGCCAACAACGCUAAUGAACUUGAAAGAUUGCGAAACCUUGUUAAGGAACUCGAGGAAAGGGAGGUGAAGCUUGAAGGGGAGUUGCUUGAGUAUUAUGGUUUGAAGGAACAAGAAUCAGAUAUUCUCGAGUUACAAAAGCAGCUCAAAAUUAAGACUGUUGAGAUUGACAUGCUCAACAUCACGAUAAACACGUUACAGGCCGAGAAACAAAAGCUUCAAGAGGAGCUUUUUCAUGGAGCUACUGCUAGGAAAGAUCUAGAAGCUGCUAGAAGCAAGAUUAAGGAGCUGCAAAGGCAGAUGCAACUCGAAGCUAACCAAACGAAAGCUCAGCUGUUGUUGCUAAAACAACAUGUUACUGGACUUCAAGAAAAGGAAGAGGAAGCUUUCAAGAGAGAUUCCGAGGUUGACAAGAAACUUAAACUUGUGAAGGAGUUGGAAGUGGAGGUUAUGGAGCUUAAGAGGAAGAACAAAGAACUUCAGCAUGAAAAGAGAGAGUUGGUUAUUAAAUUGGAUGCUGCUGAAUCUAAAAUAGCAAAGCUUUCUAAUAUGACAGAGGUAAAUUAUAACUCUUGAUACCACUAUUUUCAUGUAAACUGAUCAAGUUUAGGACAAUAGCCAUAUUCUGAUAUCUUGUUAUUAUCAUAAUUGUGAUGGUAGAUAUGCUUUUGCUGUUUCUCAUGCUCUUUAAUUCCUUCUAGUUUGACCAAUGGCGGAGCUAAGAUAUUGAAUUUAUGGGUUCGAAAUCUAGAAAAGAUAGUUUACUGGGUUCUGGAUAAAGUAUUUAUACAUAUUAAGUAAAUUUUGAAAAACAAAUGCAAUGUUUGGACCAAAGCUAUUAGGUUCUUGCCGAGCCUAUAGACAGGCUUAUAGCUCCAUCCCAAAUUUUGAUAGUUGUUUUUUGCUCGCACCACUGAAUAAUUGGAGAUUCUCAGCUUCUAAUGAGAAUGAUUGUGUGAUGUUUUUGGUUAGUGUGUGAACUGAUGGUAUGUAAAUUCCUGACCUUUUUUUGGCAUGCUGCUGCAGAAUGAACUGGUUGCUCAGGUGAGGGAAGAAGUAACUAAUUUGAAGCAUACAAAUGAAGAUCUUCUAAAACAAGUAGAAGGACUUCAAAUGAACAGAUUCAGUGAAGUUGAAGAGCUAGUGUAUCUUCGUUGGGUCAAUGCAUGCUUAAGAUUUGAACUUCGGAACUACCAAACACCUCAAGGAAAAGUAUCGGCUCGUGACCUCAGUAAAAGUCUGAGCCCAAGAUCUCAGCAGAAGGCCAAACAGUUGAUGUUAGAAUACGCAGGAUCAGAACGUGGGCAAGGAGAUACAGAUCUUGAAAGCAAUUUUUCUCAGCCAUCUUCUCCCGGUAGUGAAGACUUUGAUAAUGCUUCUAUCGACAGUUCCACUAGCAGAUUUAGUAGUUUCAGUAAAAAGCCCAACUUAAUCCAGAAGUUGAAGAAAUGGGGCAGCAGAGGUGGUAAAGACGAUUCUAGUGUUAUGUCUUCACCAGCAAGAUCUCUUGGGGGAGCAUCUCCGGGUAGGAUGAGUAUGAGCGUUAGACCAAGGGGUCCACUUGAAUCGCUAAUGCUUAGGAAUGCGGGUGACGGUGUAGCCAUCACUACUUUUGGAACAGCUGAGGAAUAUGAUUCCCCGGAAACACCAAAGCUUCCAUCUAUUAGGACACGAGAAUCUUCUGCUGAGGCACUGAAUUCAGUUGCAUCAUCAUUCUCUCUGAUGUCGAAAUCAGUGGAAGGGGUUCUAGAUGAGAAGUAUCCGGCAUUCAAAGAUAGGCAUAAGCUGGCAGUAGAACGAGAGAAGCAAAUUAAGGUAAAAGCCGAGCAAGCAAGAGCAGCAAGGUUUGAGAGGUCCUUGCCUCCAAAACUUGCUCAACUGAAAGAGAAGUCGGUACCACUGCCAGGGUCAGUACCAGUUUUGCCGGUGGUCUCUGCCUCUGGUGACUCAGCAGAGCAGUCUGGUGAUAGCAAAACCGACUCUCAAGCAGUAAGCAAAAUGAAACUUGUUAAUAUUGAGAAAAGACCUACUAGGACUCCUCGUCCACCUCCUAAACGAUCAGGAGGUGGUCCAGCUCCAGCUAAUGUUACAGGUGGAGCACCUGGAGGUCCACCCCCACCCCCACCUCCGCCUGGUGCUCCACCACCGCCUCCGCCACCUGGUGGAGGACCUCCUAGACCACCACCUCCUCCUGGAUCUCUAAUGAAAGGAGGAGCUGGAGGUGAUAAGGUCCAUCGUGCUCCUGAAUUAGUUGAAUUCUACCAAACAUUGAUGAAACGCGAGUCAAAGAAGGACACACCAUCAGCUUUGAUAACCGCUAAUUCAAACACAUCAGAUGCAAGAAGCAACAUGAUUGGGGAGAUAGAAAACAGAUCAACAUUCCUGUUAGCUGUAUGUAGAACUUCUCUUUUACUCCUUUGAAUAAUGCAUGUGCCUAUUACCCUAUUCUAACUCAAAGGAGAAUUGUGCAAAACCAGGUGAAAGCUGAUGUGGAAAGUCAAGGUGAAUUUGUCGAGUCAUUGGCAACUGAAGUUCGUGCUGCUUCAUUUACUAAUAUCGAGGAUCUAGUGGCAUUCGUGAACUGGCUAGAUGAAGAACUCUCCUUCUUGGUAUUUCCUUGACAUUAUACCUUCAAAUUCCCUAUUCCUUAAAUAGGGGACAUGAACAUCACUUUUCAUAAAUAGCAGUAUUUGUGCCCCUAAUAAAAAAGUAUGGCGAUAUUUAUUGAGUUUUCAAAACAUAAAAAAAGUUUUCUAUCAAAAUGUAUCAUAUAUACACUGACGAUCAUACAAACAUACAGUCAUACAUACACUAGCCUGAGGGAUGUAGUAAAAAUCUGCUAUAAAAAUAAAAGAAUCUAGCUAUUUUCUGUAAUAAUUUAAAAAUAUUGCUAAAACAGGUAAUUAGUGGGCUUAAGUUGUUAUAUCAUGUCAGUUUCCCUUAUUAAUCAUAUUUUUAUACAGUGGAUAUGAAAAUAGUUGGUUAAUUAAUCUCUCCCAAGCGACGAGGACCAUGCACUUUCUGCAUUAUAUACCUGCAGCAUUCAUUAACAGUUUAUCUCAUUGAUCUUUUCAAGGUUGAUGAACGAGCUGUCCUCAAGCACUUUGACUGGCCUGAAGGAAAAGCCGAUGCAUUGAGAGAGGCUGCCUUCGAAUAUCAAGAUCUAAUGAAACUAGAAAAGCAAGUAACCACCUUUGUUGAUGACCCAAAUCUUCAAUGUGAUGCUGCUUUGAAAAAGAUGUACAGGUUGCUUGAAAAGUAAGUCUCUGAUGAUAUCUAUGCCUCUUUUUGUCUAUAAACUAGAGAAUUUAGGUUUAGUAGGAUGCAGGGGAGGAUCCAGGCAUGGACGAGUCUGAACCCCCAUGGCGGAAAAUUACACUGUUUAUACACGUUUAAAAUUAUUUUCUAUGUAUAUACCAUGGAUGUUGGACCCCCUUCAUAAUUUGAACCCCCUUAGCGGAACUCCGGGCUCCGCCAUUGGUAGGAUGUGAAAAUGGUUGAGACUUAAACAAACUGUUCCAUACCACAUUUAAACUUAAACAUAUUUUGAAUUGGUACCUUUUCACUAAGUUGUUCGGACUCUCCAAAAAUGUUGCUGCACCCAUGUCCGAUCCUUCAAAAAUACACUACUUUUGGAGGAUCCGGCACGCACCUGUCAACAUUUUUGAAGAGUCCAAGCAACAUAGCCUUUUCAUGUGUAGUUCAUUUUUUUCUUCAUUUCAUUCCUAUGUAUAGCUAGCUCAGAUUUUCAUUCUGGAUACCAGGGUGGAACAAAGUGUUUAUGCACUACUGCGUACUCGCGAUAUGGCUGCAUCACGAUACAGAGAAUUUGGCAUUCCUACUGAUUGGUUGCAAGAUUCAGGUGUUGUUGGCAAGGUAUGUUCUUAUGUAGAAACAUCAUUGCGGUGUCCUUUCUCGAGGCUUUUUCAUAUAAAAACGCGAACUUUUCCGCCAAAAACCAUGCUGCAUGAAGACCUCAGAAUGUGAAGUGAAUUAGGAAAUAUCAAGAACCUGUGUAAUUAACAUAAAAUACGAUUUCACUUCGCGAUAAGUUCAAAAGAAAGAACAAAAAAUUUGCAGAGAAAUGAUCUGUUAUGUUUUUCUCUUCUGCAGAUCAAGCUUUCUUCAGUACAGUUGGCGAGGAAGUACAUGAAACGUGUAGCAUCUGAGCUCGAUGCACUGGAUGGACCCGAAAAGGAACCAAACAGAGAGUUUUUGAUUCUACAAGGGGUUCGUUUUGCUUUCAGAGUUCAUCAGGUAUAUACACACCACACCUGCAUUUUGUUCACUUGUUUUAUUAUAGAUACUGAUUGAAGAAUUCACCAGCUUGACUUUGAAAAUCCUUCUUUUUGCCAUCUUCAGUUUGCUGGAGGAUUUGACGCUGAAAGUAUGAAGGCAUUUGAAGAACUAAGGAGUCGAGUCCGGUCACAAAUAGGAGGAGAGAGUACACAAGAACCAUGAAUAUAUUUGUAUUUUGGUUUUAGUCAUUGUAUAUUUCAUCUUUUUUCUCCAAGUAUAGCAAACAUAUUCCAUCUUGGACAUUUUGUACAAUUCAAAAGGUUCAACUCAAGGUGAAUAUCAGAUAACACAGAUUAGUUAAAAGAAGUUGCAGGAAUAAAUAUUAUAGGGGGAAACACUUUUGACAACUUCACUAUAAGUGAAUUUUGGAUCUCCAUAUUCAUCAAUUCUGAAAAUUUGAGUAUACAUUACACUGGAAAAAAUGACUGAAACACUUGCAUAACUGUUGAAUAUUAAGAAAUUCGAGUAAUCAGUCAUAUUAACUUCAAGCUUGAAGUAUGUCGCCCCCAACGAUGAGAAACUUGAGAAUGUAGUUUAUGGUGAUUCAAUCAUCAGUACUGUUUCCUCCAUUUAACAUGGUGAACCUUCACAUUGUACAUAGAUAGGGAAAACGUUUAUUGACUGCGCGGCCAUGAAUAUUGUUACGACAGCUGAUGCAAACUGACUAAAGGCAUGCUUAUAGCUAAACAUGUUAUUGAGGUUUCUUGAUUUCAUCUGCUAUCUCAUUGUGAUGACAAGACUUCUAUCUGUAAAUUUGGCACCUCCAACCUUCCCUUGAAGUUGAGAUGGUAGACGAAUGACACGUCUUUGAUCACCAGCCUCCACCAACAAUUCAGAUCCUCCUCUAAACUGCAAAUAGCCAGAAAUUCUGAUUAAUUUCACCAUAUAAUUUGGUUUUCAGUAGCAAAACAAGUAGAGCAACGAUAAUAGCAAUGAGCCUUUGGUCAUCGUAGUAGCUUCAAAGGGUCGAGCACUCUCAAAUUGGACAACCGAAGCAAGUUAGAUGUCAGAAGAACUUUUCAUGUGCUAUAUUAACAGCAAAACUCUGAUCGCAUCCUAGAACAGCAAGCUAGGAAUGUUCUUAAUCGCUCAACUACAUAAUAUAGUGCUUCAUGCAAACGUAAGCACCUGUUGAAUGCUUCAUAGUCUGCGUUCGUUGCAGUUAAGUGAGUCAAUGUUUCAUCUAGUGAAGAAUUUCAUUGCAAGUUCACAGGAGGAUCACUUUUGGUAUCAUAGUAUACGCAAAAUGCAGAUAGGUGAAACAAACCAUACUACAUACUUGAUAUAGCUUGAUUUCCGAUUUGUCAAAACCGGGCAUGAGAAGUGUGACAAUUUUGUUGGUUGGAUCAAAGGUAACUGGAGGAAUGCUGGCCUUAUGAGCUGUUACUGUCAGAAGAUUCCGUGCACUCUCGCUAUGACUAUCCUGCAUAAUCUUGUUCCAAUCUAGAUGGGCUCCCACUGAGAUAUGUGGAACAAAAGCAGAAGGCAAAGGUGAAAAAAUCUCAAUCGUUGCUCCUGAUUCUCCACUUGAAUUUGGCGAUGCAAGAGCAAAUGCACCAGAAACCUGUGCACCGGCCUGGAUUAUGCAACCCCAGUAGCGUAAAGCAGAAGCCAUAGACACAGGGCUGUUUCUAUCCACCACAAUAUAGCAACCAAACCUUUUGGGUUCUGCAAAUAUUUUAGAUCCUCUCUGCAGCAUGCAAAAUCAUUAGAACCUUUAGUUCAAAUUCGAUGCAACAACAAAAACAAAAUACCUAGUGUAAUCCCACGAUUGGGGUCUAGGCAAGGUUGGAGUGUACGCAGACCUUACCAUACCAGAGGUAGAGAGGCUGUUUCCGAUAGACUAGGUCAAAAUUGAUGGUAUCUUUGAAAAAAAAGAUUAGUAGUUAACAUACCCCCAAUACUUGUUCUAGAAGGUCCCAAAUUUCUGAACUCAUUUUCCCAUUCAGAUUAAGAUUGCUACCGCUUAGAGUCAAGGCUUCUUCCGCAAGUCUCAAAAGUGAGGGACUUGCCAGCCUUCCUAAAUCAGUUUUUUCAGCUAAAUUGCGGAGAUAUUUCAAGUAUAACCUGCAUGUGGAAAUAAAAGAUAUGAUAUUCCACAUCGAUUUUUGCAUAGAGACAUUUAACAAGUCGGGGAGAAGAUCUAACCUUGCUUUGCUGGUUGCACCAAUCAUCCUAAUCGUUUCUUCAGUACUCAUGCCAUCAUAAAUAAUAAUAUCAAAUUUCUCUUUUUUACUAUUUUGUCGAACCACAUUUUCAAAAAAUCCUACAAGCUGCUCGAGUGCUAGGGAUGAAAAUAUGGAAUCCAUACCAGGAAGUACUCCAAGCUCUUCUCCAACUACCUAAGAUAUUGUGAAAAAAGUUACUCAAAGAGAACUCAUCCAGUUCUGGCGAAAGAAAGACAGACAAUUGCACCAUUAAGUUACAUACCUACCCCUUCAAGAACUCCUUGAGUCAUAUUAAGACGAGCAUCUGCUUGCUUCAGUUUAUUAAGAGGUUCAAGGAGCAUCUGCAAUUACCGAUGAUUGUUCAGCGUAAAUGAAUUGCAACCAAUAUAAAAUCUCAACAUUGCAGGAAAGACGGGUGAAGUAAGGGUUAAACAGGAACUGACUUUUGUAGUUUCCAAUCUAACGGCUGAAAGGUUGUCGUUGCAUGUUAUUGGCGAUGUCCCAAUCUUACAAUUCAGAAGAUAUUCAGCUGUCGGAUCUUGAGAAUGUAUCACCAAGCAUGUUUUGAGCCCUGACAUUGCAUAAUGCUGGUAAGAAAAGAAAUUUGCGGGUUAGUCUACCUAACUUCAUCUUAUUCAGGAGAAACGUGUGAUUCCUGUUAUGGUACAUCAUUAGUUAAGGUUUAAAGAGGAAAAGACAGGCAGAUUCAGGGUCAAUGUAGAGUGUCUCUUUAAUCUUUUGUAUAGUACUAGACGUCGACGAUAUAAUAAUAUCAUAGAAAAUACACUGAAAAUGAAAGGGCAAAAACAAAGCAAAUUGUGGCGAUAGUGCCAAGAUAAUAACACUAAAUGGAAGAGCAUGCUGUUAUAAAUUUAUAGGGGAGAAUGUAGCCAGAGAUGCAGUGAUCAAUGAAUAUUGUGUUAAUAUUUCGCGUGAGACCUAAACGUAUGUGUCAUCGUCACAUACAGAACAUAGCUUUUGUCCGGAUAUUUUAAGGAAACAAAUCACCUAAAAACAAUAUUAUGAUGAUUCCCAGGAAACAAACUUCUAAACGAUUCAUGAGGUUUGUUCACUUCCUACCCCCUCCCCUGCACUCCUGGAUGUUUUUUCCAUUCUUUGCUCCACUGCCCACAGCGUCGAAGGAAAAAGAAAAGGGAAGACAAAGUGUAACAAGUUUUCCUUCUGACAAACAAGAGAAUAAGCACGUGACGAGAGAAAACUUGGUUGCACUCGUGCUUUCCUUGCAGUAUCAUGAAUAAAAGUAUUAAAGUUGGAAUUAUUGUCUUUUGAUUUUGAUUGUGUAUUACAAAAUUGGUAUACCUCCUUGAAAACAGUUCGUAAAGAAAAAAAAGUUGAAUGUUAUUUAAGACAAAUGAACUAAAUCAUGAAAGUAACUGUGAGUGCUUCAUUUGAGUUGUAUAAGUACUCCAGUAAAUAGUGAGUGCUUAAGCAAGUAAGAAAACAACAAGAAGAGAGUAGUCAAGUGAGAAAUAAGAUAGAGAGCAACAUAGAGAGUCGUUAGAGUGUGAGUGCAAGAAAAAUUAAAAGGGUAGCACGGUGGACUAAAGCUCCCGCUACACUCGGGGUCCGAGGAAGGACCGGACCACUAGGGCCUUUUGUAAACAACCUUACACUGCAUUUCUGCAAGAUGGUGCUUCCACGGCUUGAACCCAUGACCUCCUGGUCACAUGGCUACAACUUUACAAGUCACACAAGAAAAUUAGUGCAAGAAUCAUAAGACCGAAGGGAGUCCUUACUUUUCAAUAAUAAAAUUCAAGUUGUUAGCAACUCCGUCAACAAUUCUAACAACAAACAAUCUAUCCUCUUAUAGAAGCCAGGGAUAGAAAAGAGUUCAAACACUAAUUCAGUCCCAGAUGAUCUAAAAAGCAUCAACACAACCCCACAUUUUCAACCAAAACAACAACAGCAUCCAUACACCGCUUACAAAAGAGAGAAUGAACAGAAACUUAGAAUCUUUAUAGCAAAAUUGUACACUUAAUCCACUAACCUGAGCAGCAAAAUGGCAUAAGUGGCUUUCCCAGAACCCCCUUUGCCCAAAAAGGUAACUAGCUCAGUGGAUUUUGCAUUAUUAGCUGAAUCAUCACUAGUAAUAGCCAAAAUCGCAUUCUUGAUCUUCUUCUUGUAUUAGCUAAAGAUUUUAUCUUUUUCACUGGCUGGUUGAAAAAAAUCAGAAUAUGUUUCUUCUAGUAUAGUUUACUUUAAUCGUCUGAUUUAUCGUCCUAUGGUUUGCAAUUACUAGCUUUCGCAUGAUGCCCUGCUAGUUUGAUCCCAACAAUUCAGGCCCAAAUGAUUUAUGAAGCAUCAAUACAACAACUCCACAUUUUCAACCAAAACAACAACAUCCAUCUACUGUUUAUAAAAGAUAAAAUGGAAAAAAAAAAAAUAAGUAGAAUCUUUAGAGCGAAAUUCAGAAUAAGUUUCUUUUAGUAUAGUUUACUUUGUUGUCAGAUUUAUCAUUGUUAUGGUUUGCAAUUACUAACUUCUACAUGACGCCCUGCUACUUCGAUCCCAUCAAUUCAGUCCCAAAUGAUUUAAGAAGCAUAAACACAUCCACAUUUCCAACCAAAAGAACAUCCAUCUACUACCUAAAAAAGAUAAAAUGGAACAAAAAGUAGAAUCUUUAAAGCAAAAUUCAGAAUAUGUUUCCUUGUAGUAUAGUUUACUUUGCACUCAGAUUUAUCGCUCCUGCGGUUUACGGUUUGCAACUAUUAACUUCCGCAUGACAUCGUGCUACUUCUAACCCAACAAUUCAGUCCUAAGAAUUUAUGAAGCAUCAAUACAACCUCACAUUUUCAACCAAAACAACAACAACAACAUCCAUCUACUGCUUAUAAAAGAGAGAACACAACAAAAAAGUUAGAAUCUUCAGAGCAAAAUUUAAUACUCCCUUUAUCGCAAUUUAUGUGUCACCCUUUCCUUUUUAAUCCGUUCCAAAAAAAUAAAAUUCACCAUACUGUAAAUUUUCUCUUUUACCCUUUUUUGACACAAAUUUUAAAAGUCAUUUAUUAUUUUUUUCAAACAACAUGUCAAAUUAAAACAGUGUCACAUAAAUUAAAACAGAGGGAGUAGUUAUCUCUAGUACUACUAGUAGUUAUUUUAGACACAAAUCUCUAAAGUCUUUAUUUUUCCUUAAACAUCUUAUCAAGUCAAACGAUACCACAUAAAUUGAAACGGAGUGAGUAGUUAUCGAAUAGUAGUAGUUAUUUUAGACACAAAUUUCAAUACCCUUCAUUCCUUUUAAACAUUGUGUCAAAUCAAACUGUUAUUUUUUCUUAAACAUUAUGUCCAAAGUCAUUCAUUUUUUUUAUGAUAACCGUGGUGUUUGGGUCAGCUUGCGCGUACCUCGACUAAAUCCACGGGAUACCUGCCACGUCCCACCAGCAACAGGUCCCAAGUAACUCCGUCCACCAAGAAAACACCUAGUAUUUGCCUUUGCUGGGAAUUGAACCUGAGACUCAUGGUGCUCAUCUCAACUUCAUUGAACCACUAGGCCACACCCUUGGAUGCAGUCAUUCAUUUUUUCUUAAACAACGUGUCAAGUCAAACAGUGUUGCAUAAAUUUAAAUUGAGAAGAGUGAGCAGUUAUCUAAUACUACUAGUAGUUAUUUUAGACACAAAUCUCAAAAGUUCUAUUUUUACUUAAAAUAUUGUGUCAAGUCAAACAGUACUACAUAAAUCGAGACAAAGUGAGAGUGAUUAAUCAACUAACCUGAGCAGCAAAGAUGGCAGAAGUAGUUUUCCCAGAACCCCCUUUGCCCAAAAAGGUAAUUAGCUUUGUGGAUUUUUCAUUUUUAACUGAAUUAUCACUAGCCAUAGCCAAAAUCUCCAUUCUUGAUUUCCUUCUCCUUGUUUUAGCUACACAUUUUAUCUUUUUUAUUGGCUGGUUGAAAAUAUCAGAAUAUGGGUAAUUUUGGGUGGAGAAUAAUGAAGAUGUUGUUAACAUUUGUACAGUGGAACUUGACAUUGUUCUACAAGAUUAACGUUGUUUGUAAACAACACAGGGAGAGUAGUAGUACAUUCAAAUUCAAUUUAGGAAAGUUAGGCCUUUCUUAAAAAAAAUAAAAAGAAUAAGUAAAAAAAAUAUCUAGAGUAGCAUAGUUAAGUACUCCCUCCGUUUCGAAAUAAGUGAAUUAUUGAGAUAUUUAUUAAUGUUUCAAAAUAAGUAAAUUAUUGAAUUUUUUUCCAAAUUUGUUCUUAUGAUUUGACAAACAAUUAACUUUUGAAAAGGCAUUACAAGGUCAACUUUUUCUUUCUUUUUUUGGGGGUAAAAAUGAAAAGUUGUGUUAAAUUUAUGUCUUUAAUAUUAAAUUAUAAAAAAUAACAACACUUUUAUCAAAUCACAUUUUGUAGCAUAUAUAUUUGUAUUUUUGUAGCAACAAUUUGUAAAAAUACAAAAUUCAUAUCGAUCAUAAGGACAGUAAAAAUCAUAUGUAUUUGUAUUUUUGUAGCAACACUUUGCAAAAAUACAAAAUACAACUUGUUAUAUUAUGUAAUUAUGAAACUGUUGCUAUGAAACUCAUAAUUAAGGGGCUAAAUAUGCUAUUUUUGAAUUUUGCCCCAAAAAAAAUAAUAAUAACAUAAAUAUGCAACUUAACUUAUGUAUUUACACAAAUCUCCACUCUUAUAAAGUAACUUAGAAAAAUUUCAAUUAAUUAUGUAUCUUCAUCGAAUACAUUAAAAGCUAAUUAUGUAUCUCGACGGAUCUAAAAGCGAAAAGAAUGUAUCUAGAGCUAAUUAUGUACGUUUACAAAGGAAAAAUUGUAUCUUUGUUGGAUGUAUUAUGUAUUUCGACCGACUCAAAAUCAACCCUAUGAACAUUUUUUUCCUCACGUUCACAAACGGUGUUAAUUGUAGCUUGUCUAUUUUUGGACAAACUGUCCGUUUUGGUACAUAAAGAAACGGACUGUCUGUUUUGACUUCUAGACUUGAGAAAGUGUCCCUUUUAACUCCGAACUCUUUUAUAUAUUAUAUAUUGCUUCUCUAGUUCUCUUUCUUGGUGUGUAUUAUUUGACAUGUUAAAUUCACUAACUUUUGAUUUGAUUAUGUAUUUGUAUUAAGAAUAAAAAUUUUUCGUAAUAAUGUAAAAUGUCAAAAAAAAAUUGUAAUUGAGCUCCAAAUUGUUGGGAUUUACUUUUUUCCUGCUUUCACAUUAGUAUCCGACUAAUUUAGAUUCGAGUAGGUCCAUCGAAGGGAUCUCUACCAAGGUUAUUCUAUAUUUAAAGCUCGAAACUAAAACCUCUUUUUACAUGUUGAUCCUUAUCAUAUGAACACAAUAUUUUUUUGUUUGUUUGUUUUUUCUUAGGUCCUCUUUGACAUAAUUUGAAAUUAGAUUAAUUUAAAGUUGAAGUUUUAUUUGAAUGUGCAAUUCUCAUUUGUUAAUGUGUAUUUUUUCUCAAAAAUAUGAAAAUUCUAUAAGUUGGGAAAGCUAUCAAAUUUUUUUGAAUUUUUAUGCUGUCUUACCAAAUGAGUAUACCAUAGUCCAUAAGCAAUAUAUCGAAAUAUAUCACAUAUCUUCAUGUUGCUUUUAUAGAUAAAUAUAUACAAUUAUAAAUUUACAAAUGCACAUAAUUUUAUAAAAAUUCACUAGUCAACAAUAAUAGUAACUAGAGAUUCUUCAAUACUAUAAUCUUUUCAAAUGAUAGAGUCAAUUUCUUCACGUCGAGCUUGAACGUUCUCUUAUACAAUUUAAAAUGAUAGGUCUUCUUCUUACAAAAUGUAAGCUUAUGGAUUAAAUUUUAUAUUAUAAAAAAAGUGAAAUCAAAAUUUUGAGUCUCAAAUUCUAUUUUUUUCUUUUUUCUUUUUUGGAGAAUUUAGCUACUCACGAUCCCAAAUUACAUGUGCAAAUAGAUUUAAAAUGAUUUUCUUAAAUCAUAUGUUCGAAAGUAAUUACACUCUCUCCCACUUUUUUAAUUAUUUUACUCUCUUUCUUUAUUAAUAUACAUAACAUAACCGACUUAUACAUAACAUUCUGUGUAUAUGUGGAAUUUUUGUAAUAUAUUUAAGGAGUUGAGAUUUUUUGUAAUAUUGAAAAUAUAAGUUGUGUAUUUGUUACUUUAGCUGAACUAGUUCUUUUCUCUCUUUAUUUUUUCACCUAUUUUUUCUAUCUAAGUAUGUUUUUGGACAUGCAAUUUUAUGUCUAUGAUAUGAAAUUAUGAGAUGAAAUCAACGUUUGGUCAUGCGAUUUCAUCUCGUGAUUUCAUAUCAUGACAUGAAAUCCCAAAUUCUUCAAAAAACAUGUUUUGGGGAUAUCAAAUCAUGAUUUAAGAUUAUUCAAAUACAAAAAUUAACCUACAAGUUUAUAUUUUGUAAAAAGAACAUCACUAUUUAUAUUUAUCAACUAUUUAUUUCAUAUGUAAAUAAUAAAAUGUAUAGUUUAUAUUCUUACUUUUGUCAAUCUUUAAAUUAUUUAUACCUCAUUUAACUAUUAUUUUUACGUUUAAUCAUGAGAAAUAUUCAUUUUUUUUCCAAUUUUUUUUUUUUUUAUUAAUAUUAUCUUCCAUCCAAAUAAGAACUUGAAAAAAACGAAGAGAAAGAAAAUGAACAGGAGCUCCCUCCAAAAAUGAAAUAAUAAUGUAAGGGACUAUUCACAUAUUAUCAAGAUUUGUCCAAAAUCUAAAACAAACUAGACCUCGAUGGCCGUGAAUAUAUGUUAUUUUUUAGUUUCAAUUUAUGUGACAUAAAUAGAAUUUGGAUAAUCAUAUUUUUAAUAUGCUUUAGAUAUUUUAAGCUUUUGACCAUGGUAAAUUAUAUUAUCCUUUAUACAAUUUUUAAAUGAUACAUGUUACUCUCCCUAUUCAAACUUUUGUGGAAUUGAUAGUCACUUAUAUUUAAAAUAAUUUAAUUUUUUAAUUAUUGAGUAUCUUUUUUCUAUUCCAAUUUAAGUGACACUGAUAUAAUUCGAAGAGUUAAUUAAAUAUUUUAUAUCUUUAAAUUUUUUGAAAAUGUUAAUUGUUGUGUUUACGUAUUUUUAAAAAAUAUAUAAUAGAUAAAAUCAUUUAUUAAGUAUUUUAAGUUGUUAACUAUUUUAAUUUAUAAUACUUUUUUAUAUAAUUUUCAAAUAAUACAUGUUACUCUCCUUGUCCAAACUUUUGUGCAAUUGAUAGUUAAUUAUAUUUUUAGUUAUUCUAAUUUAAGUUGGACUGAUAUAAUUUCGAGAGCCAACCAAUAUUUUAUAUCUUUACAUUUUUCGAGUUGUUAAUUAAUGUGAUCUAUAGUAUUUGUUAUGUUUUUUUUUUUGGAAUAUAUAAUAGAUUAAUAUUUUUUUUAUAUUUUAAAUUGUUAAAUGUUGUAAUUUAUAAUACUUUUUAUAUAAUUUUUAAAUAAUAUAUGUUACUCUUUUUGUCCAAAAUUUGUGGCAUUAAUAUUCAAUUAUAUUUUAAAAAUAAUUUAAGUUUAUAAUUACUGUGAUUUAUAUUAUAUUUUUCCUACUUCAGUUUAAAUGAUACUGAUAAAAUUUCGAGAGUCAGCAAAAUAUCUUAUGUUUUUUUAAUUUCUUAAGUUAUUAGUUAUUGUGAUUUAUAGAAUUUUUUUUGCAUUUUUUUGAAAUAUAUAGCAAAUUAAAAAAAAUAAGACAAAAAAUUAAAAUGGAUAAAAAAAAUAAAGGCAAUGGGAAGGACCAAUGAAGUUGUGUCAAAGUAGAUAGAUUGACCUUCAAAUUAUUUAAGUUGUUAAUUAUUAUAAUUUAUAGUAUUUUUAUACAUACUUUUUGAAACAUAUAACAUAUUAAAUUUUUUAAAGAUAUUUUAGUUGUUAACUGUUGUAAUUUAUUAUAAUUUUUAUGUAAUUUUCAAAUAAUAUAUAUUACUUUCCUUGCCCAAAAUUUUUUGGCAUUGAUAGUCAAUUAUACUUUUGAAAUAAUUUAUUUUUUUUAAUUGUUAUUUUUUGUAAUACUUUUUCUUCUAUUCUAAUUUAAGUGGCACAAUGCUUAGAUGAUCAUAAUAAUUAAUUAGGGUGAUAUAGUAAAAUCACGAUUGAAGCAACAAUGUAGAAAUAUUUUAAUGACUUAUAAUAACUAAUUAGAAGUGAAAUAGCAAAAUUACCAUAAAAAUACUUGCGAUUUUUUUUUAAGUGGACCUCAUAUAAGACGUUAAGUUAAUUUAGCAUUAAAUAUUAUUAUGUUUUUAAUACUUAAAUGACUUUAUAAUAAUUUUUUAAUAUUUAGAUGACUUAUAAUAAUUAAUUAGAAACGAAGUAGUAAAAUUACGGUUGAAACAGUUGAAGUAAACAUAUCAUAAAUGUCUAUUUUACUUUUUUAUUAAAUAUUAUUAAUUUAUUAAUAGAUAAAUGAUAUAUAAUAAUUAAUUAGGGAUGAUAUAGUAAAUGCUCAACUCUCUCUUAUAAUAUAAGAGAAUAUAAAACAAGUUUGUCUAGCUAUAUGAUAUUAAUGCUGUGAGUGCUAUAUCAAUGCUUGUAUAAUAUAUGGUUCCAUCACAUUAUGAAUUUUUUUUUGGCAACCCUCUUGUAUCACAAUAUUAUAAUUUCAAUAAUAAUGCAGCAUCUAUGAAAAAGUACAAACUAAAACUGAGGGUCUAUCAGAAACAAUCGAUCUACCUUUGUGAGGUAGAGGUGAUCGAUUAAGUCUGUCGUCUGCGUAUAUUGUACCAUCUCAAAACCUUACUUGUGGAUUACGCUAGAAUGUUGGUAUACAUGAAAAAAAUAAAAUAUAAUUUUGAUCUGAGCAUAAUUGUAGUAAAGUAUUAUACUACCUAUAGCUUGGUAUUUUCCUUGUAUAAUGUAAGAAGAAUUAAAGUAAAUAUAAUGUCAGUGUCCAAACUCAAAAUGGAGAUAUUAUGUUUGGAGGAUUUUUAGAAAUAAUAAAGGAAGGUAAAUAUUGAAAUAUUCAUGUAAAAUGAGUUUAUUGAAUUUUUUACUAUAAAGAUAUGAAACACCAAAAAUGAUAGAAAUUAGCAAAACAAUAAAAUAUAGAGAUUUCAAAAAGUAAAACAGAUUACCUACUUAUUCUCAAAUUUAUCACAUAUAUAGGACAUACAAUCUUAAAAAGAUUUGAUAAUCUGCUCUAAAAAAAUGGGAUUUUUCUCCUUGUUGAUUAAGUUUUCUCUAAUGUAGUCAAAAGUGAAAUAAUCAAAAAUGAAAACCACAAAAUAAUUUUUUCUUAAUUACCAUGUGAGAAAGUGGGUAAAAGAUCUCAUUUCUUUCCUUUCCGUCGAAUGAUACGACAAAUAUUAUCGGAUUUCAAAAUAGCACGAUCAAUAUUAGUAGCGCAUAAUUUCAUCCAAAAUCUAUCGUAAUUAGUAUUCUAAACUGCCCACGAUCAACAUGGUAAAAUUGUUAUCAUGUGAUCAGAAAGUCAUUGGUUCAAGCUGGGGAAACAACACCUUGCAAAAAUGUAAGAUGAGGCUGCAUACAAGAGGCCUUGUGGUUCGACCCUUCCUCGAGCCCCAUACAUAACAAAAACUUUAGUGCAUUACGUUUUUUUUUUAUAAUUCUAAACUGCCCACGAUCAACAUGGUAAAAUUGCUACUAUGUGAUUAGGAAGUCACAGAUUCUAGCCGUGAAACAACACCUUGCAGAAAUGUAAGACGAUACUGUAUGCGUACAAGAAGCCCUUAUGAUUCGACCCUUUCUCGGGACCCCAUACACAGCGGAAACUUUAAUGCAUGACACUAUUUUUUUUAUAUAUAGCAUUCUAAACUGCCCAAUAAUACAAAACUCAACGGCAAAAACAUGCAUUUUGUUAAAUCAAAGAGAGGGGGGGGGGGGGACAUUAUAUAUAUUCAUCAUUCAUGCCAAAAAAAAAAGAUCUAUAGAUAAAUCUAGAAUUAAUUAAUAACGUGAGCUCUCAAGUUCAAAUUUCAGCAGAGAUAAAAACAUUAGACGAUCUUUUCCCAUUUCUGAUAUAUGCUAAUGAAAGGUAGAACACAUCAUGCAAAAUUAAUCUAGUAUCACGUGAUAUUAGUCGAGGUGCAUACAAGCUGACUCGAAUACAGAAAUUAUUCCAAAAAAAGUAGUUACAUUAAGAAGCAUAUCUUGGCAUUGGACUAGCUCUUGGUGAUCUUGGAAGUUCAUCAACCCUAUUUCCAAAUGAAUCAUAAUAUAUAACACCAGAAAAUUUUGGUGGUUGACAUUUUUCACCUAACAUAAUUGCCUUUUGCCAUAGACCUUCUUCUCCGGCUACUUCUCCGGUACGAUGACCGGAAUCUUCAUCGAUUUUUUUGGUCAUGUUAGUUGGAACAAUUUUGGAUUCAUUACUAGUUUUGGACAUGGAUUUUUUUGAAGUUUUUUUUGCAUGUUUUGCACAUAAUGCUACAAGUGCUAUUAUUGAAAGAAAUAAACCAAUUGAUAAUGGCAUGGAAGUAUAUAAAUUAUCACCAUUAAUUCUUGGUAAUAUUGGACGAACCAUUUUAAAGAAAAUUAAUUAGGGUAUUUGGAUAUUUCAAGUUGGAAGAAAAAGAAGCUAAGGGUGAUGAAGAAGAAAUUAAAGAAAUGGAGAGUUUUGAGAUAUUAUGAGUGGAUAAAUGGGGGCUGGGGCUGGGGGUGGGGGUGGUUUUAUUUUAUUGAAAAUAAAUUUUAUGUAUGAUAGAUAAAAAAAAUGUAUCUACAAAUCACUUAAAAGAUGCUUGGAGGUAAUUAAGUCUUUGUACAAACAUUAAUUAAUAAACUUAAAAAAUGGAAAGUAAUCUCUUAUAAUGGGUCAAGAUAUAUUGAUAGUAUAAUUAAACUUUAAUUUUAUAUCAUUAGUGCAUAUAAUUUAAACAUUAUUUUAUUAUUUUAUGGUGUAGUGAUUUUUCAACCCUAAUUGUGGCAGUUGCAAGGUAGGAGAACAAUUUUCAACUUUAAUUUUGCAUUGGAAUUAUUUUAAUGACUCAAUCAUUAAAACUUAUGAGAUUUUAUAUAUUUGUUUUCAGAUUUUUAUGAUUAGGUAAGUCAAUUCAAAAACUUACAAGACGAAAAAAAAACUGUAUUUAAAGAAAAUAUUUUUUUUGUUUGUUUCUUUCAAAACUUUAUACAAGUAAGUUGAACAACUAAUGAUUUUUUACUAACUCGUGUUUUAUUAAUUAAUGUAUUUAUAUUUUUCAAAUUUAUAGUUUUUACUAACUCAAGACUUUACUAAAUCAUGUUUUAUUAAUAUAUUUUUCAAAUUUAUAGUUUGACCAAUUCAAGCACUAUUUUCAUUGUUGAAAUCAUUGAAGACGUGUGUAUCAAUAUUUAAGUUUGGAUUGGGUCAACAUUAUAUGAUAGAUUUGUUCAUUUAUUAAGUGAAUAAUAUUCCAAAUAUCAUCAAAAUUAAAAUUCACCUACUUUCAUGAAAAAACUAUUCUAAAAUUUAUUGACUUCAUAUAUUCUUUAUGUACGGUUAAUGUGAAUCAUUUUUUAUAUUGUCAGACUCAAAUCAUUCAAAUUAUAUUUAGAUUAAAGGUAUGCCUUCUUAAAAUGUGAGAUUUGAAAUCUUAAAAAUAAGGUAUUGUAGUUGUACUAUAGGUAAAAAUAAAUAGUACAAAUAUUAUUUAAUAAUCAUAGUUUAUGUUAAUUAAAUUAACUUUUUAAUGUAAUUAAUAAAUAAUUAACAACUACUUACCAUCUUAUUAUGGCUGAUGAUCAGGAGACGGCUUGCAAAAAGGAACUACUAAUAAUUUUUACUCAUAAUUUGAACUAAUUAAGUUUUUAACCUAAUUAAGGUUUUAGGUUAAUGUAAACUAUUUUUUUAAGCUAGAUCGAGCAUUGCAAAUAAAUAAAAAUAUUAUAGAGAUAGAUACUCCUCCAUUUUUAAUUUAAAUUAAGUUAUUGUUCGAGCAUUGGACGUGGAAUUGUCUUUGUUAAGGAAAACUUUACCUCCCACUGUUAAAUUUUCUGACGCAAAUUUAGAUUUAAUAAUACGAGUAUUGAAAACAAAAAAUAAUAUUAUAUGUAUCCCUUUCUAAUUUUUUUUUUUUUUUUUUUUUUAUAUAUAUUCCAGCAUAACGAGAUGUUUUCUAUUCUCAAAAAUUACAACUUAUAGAAUAUUCUAUAUUUAAGAGGUCAUAAUAGUAAUAUAGUAGACUUAGUGGACGUUUGUUUUGCUAAUCAUGAUGCAUGUAUUAUAAUAAAUUAAUUUACACAAAUUUUAUGUGAUUCUACGUACGUGCAUCCCAUGAUAAGAAAUUGACAAGUUUUAUAAUAAUAAUAAUAAUUUCUUUCUAAAUCGUAUAACAUGCCCUCCAACAUCAUCCCCUCAAAUACAAAUACUGUAUACAAAGCACAUGAAGAGCUAAAACUCUAAAGUGUUAAUUUGGUACGAAGGAUAAGUGAUAACUAAUUGUUGAAUUAAUUUUAGAAUGAGUUCAUCCCAUGUAUAUUUGGUUGAUAUAAAAUCAUGAAUAAUUUAUCUCAGAAUUAGAUAUUAAAAAAUUAUAGUGAUUUUUAUCCCACAUUGAAAGUGAUAUAUGAUUAUCAAAAAAUUAAUUUUAAAAUAAUUAAUUCCAGAAUAACUAGUUCCCGAUCAAUCGAACCCUAAGUGGAGUACUUUUCUUCUUGUUUUCUUUUUUUAAUAAAAAAUUAUUAUGAAUGUUUGACUAUCCACGUGUCAAGAUCAGAGAGUGGUGAGUCUGAGAUCAUAUAUUUUAUUAAUAUGCAAUUAUGUCACUUUUUUUUUCUUCUCAUAUUGUUGGGGAAAGGGUUAGUUUUGCAUUUUUGUGUAUGCAAAUUUCAGCAAACAUUGCCUUUCGUCAUUUUUUUUUAAUAAUUGUGGUGUCUGAAUAAUUUUACAUAUUAAUCUUUAAAUAUAAUAAAUUUAAUAUUUGAGAAAUACAUUAGAUAGUGAAGAAUAUAUCUAAUAUUAAGACUAAAAUGAGUAAAUAAUUAAGUUAUUCAUUAAUUUUAUUGAACAUCACAAAAUAAAAAAGUGAAACCGAUGAGUAUUAAUUAUUAUCUGGUUGUUAGGAGAAAAAAAAUCUUUUUGUCAUUGACUUUCUACAAAACACUAACUAAAGCUAAUUUUGAAGCAUAGUUAAAAAUUGAGUAAAUUUAAUACUUUUUUCAAAGAUUGAUAAAAGAAAAAAUGAGAAGUAAUCUUUUAUCUUUAAUUAAAGAUUUUGAAUUUGAAUUUCGUUCGAUAUAAGAUCACCCUUAUAAAGGAAUGCUACAACUCUCAAUAUGAAACUUUUCGACACGUAUAAAUUCAAAUAUAAUUGAAUCUGAAUACAAAUACCGAUCGGUCGUUAGAACGAAGAAAAAAAAAGUUGUUAGAGUUUGUGACCCAAAUUCUGUUGAUUCGGCCCUGAAAAGUUCGCGGUGCGACCCAUGUUUGUGAUUUUUCUUGGGGUCUGUGGUGGUAGCCUAGGAUUUAUUUGUACGUAUGUAUUAGUAGGUCGUUUUUAGAUGUUCAGAAAAUAUGUCAUUCUUCUCAAUGUAUUCUCCAUCCAUUGUAUUUUUGCUUGUGAUUUGCUUAUUUCUGUCCCAACUUAACAAAAGCAAUGAUCAUCUUCUUACUUCUAAAAUCCAGACAAUUUCUUGGGUAAUUAACAACACUUAGAAAAAGAUAUUUCCCUUUAAUUAAUUUUCUCAACCAAUGAGAAGGUUAAGUGUCAAUUAAUUAACUUUCUAGCUUAACCAUCAUGAGGAAGAACUGUGGGACAGAAAGACAAUUAUCUUAGUUUCCUUUUUGUUCCUUUAUAGUAUAGUUCAUUCAUUAUACCUUUUUUAGCUAAGAAAUUAAAAUGACACCUACAAAUAUCUUUUGUUUUUUAAUUAAAAGUUUCUUAUGUGAUGAUUUAAUCACGUUUCCUAAAAGAAUCAUAUAAUAAAAAUAAGGAAAAAAGUCAGAAAUAUACAUAAAUUUUGGUAAAAUUUAUUGUAACACGCCUCAAUUUUGCGGGGGUCUUAUGAUCUCCUCGAUUAUUUAUUACCGUAUUUCUGUGGCAUAUAUUUAUCCAGCUGAACCAUUUCAGAUCCUUAUGUGUCAGUGCGCGUGCAUUCACCCAGGGGUCCAGCUAGACAAAUAGAUGUUACAGAAAUACGGUAAUAAAUAGUCGAGAGGGGACAAAGGACCCCCGCAAAGUUGAGGCGUGUGAUAGUGUCACAAUCCAAAUGGCCAUGAGUGGCACCCACACUCAAUUUUUCAGUGGGAGGACCAUCUAAAUCAACUAUUACCCAAUCACUUAGUCAAUAUUAAAAUGAUAUUUUCAUAAAAUCAUCUUAACGAUAAUAAUCUAAAGUUCAUCAUUAGUAAUGCGGAAACAAAAUAAUCUACUUACCAAAAUUUUCAAGACCCGAAAGUCAUCGUACAAGAACUACUAACAAAGAUCAUGUCUAAAGAGAUAUAAAAAAAAUAAAGUAAAUAAAGAAUGUUUCAUUGCCCGAAAGAUGGACAAGAACAAAUAAGAUGACCCAUGGCAGCCUGAAGACGGAGUGCUCACACUUGGAUCAAGAGUUGCUAUCAAACUCUGGAGGUGAGAUCAUGUAUGAGCAUCUAGAACAAUUUCUGCACUCAACAAAAGAAGAGUACAAGGUAGUAUCAGUACGAACCACUAUGUACUAGUAGUUAUCAUAGUCUAACUCAUGACUUAAUAACAUGUACGCAACUUGAUACAAGCAUGAAGAGCACAAAGAGUACAAGGUCUUGUAGAAGGUUUAAGUUUCAGAUUUUUCAAGUGAUUGAAGAUCUUUUUGAAGCCUUUUUAAAACCUUGUCCAAGUGAAGAAAGGAAGAGGGUUCUCACACUCAAGAGGUGCCUCAAGUGAAGGUUAAUGGAAACAUUUUACACUCCAAAAUGACACUCAAGAGGCGCCUCCUUUAAGCUCUCAUUAAGGAUAUUUUUGUCAUUUGGCAUGUAAUAGUAUAAAUAGACCAUUUUCUCACUCUUUUCAUUAGAUUUUGAUGAAUUGAAAUUGAGUGUUACUCUUAGUGUAGUUUCUUUCCUUAGUGUAGGGCUUGAAAAAUCCAUCUUAGCGUAGGUCUUAGAAAAGACAUCAAAACUUGAGAGAUUAAUACAUUUGAUGGAUUUCAGUUGUGUUGAUCAAUUGGCAAGAAAGGUGUGAUUGAGGAGUAUGAGUCUUUUGGUCCACCUAAGAGGAAGGUUUGAGCUUCUAUUGGUGAGGUGUGAUUGAUGGUUUGAUACAUCAUCUUUUGUUAAUCACUUGGAAGGAGUAAAGGUCUUUCUAUCUAUCUUUACUUUAUGCAUCUCUUCUUCAUCUCCCUUUCUUCUAGUUACUGUUUUUUAUUUCUUUAGGCCUUAAUUUCAUUUUAGUAGUUGAUUUUUAUAUUAUUUGGUAUCAAAGUCUUGCUUAGGGUUGUUACCACAACUCUAAUCCUUUGUUUUAGUGUCCUUAUUAAGAAAAUCUCAACAAAAAAGAGUCAAAAAAUCUGAAAAUCUCAAAAAAAUUGUGUGUUGUCUUGUUGUUGGUAGUAGAUCCGAUUUCACAACUUAGAUCUACUAAUUUUUAGCUUUUUUUGAUAGUUUCUUGUGUUAGAUUCUUGUUCUCUAACACCUAGGGAGUCUAGAUCUACACUUGGAACAAAAUUUGGUUGAGUUUAAGCUAAGAACCUCCAUGAAUAUGGUGUUUUUUUGAAGUUUUUAAGCUAGAUUCGAAAUUGGGCUUGUGAUUUAGACGAGUUUUAUGGUUGAUUUUUACAUAUUUGAGUUAAACUUGGCCUAAGGAACCUAGAUCUACAAAAAAAAUCCAGAUUUGGAGUUCAUUUGGUUAGGAGUCAAACUUUGGUCAACUUUUAAAUAUUCAUCUUGUUCUUUCAUGUUCAUCAAGUCUUGCUAAGGAAGAAUAUUCAAAGAGCGUGUUUGAUCCAAAAAAGGAGAAGGAAGAGAGUGUACUUGGUGUUUGUGAAAGAAUAUUCCUUGGCAUAUUCAUCGUCAUCCAAAAGAAAGAAGAGACAAAGGGAAUAAUCAAGUACAAUUGAAAGUACAGUGGGGGACCAAUCCAUUUUGAAUUCAUUUGAAGCUCCAAAAGGGUUCCAAACCUUCAAUUUUUCCCUCCCAAAUGAAAAUUCUUCUUCUCCAAGGGUGUUCUAGGCUGAGACUUGAAAAUUUUGGGUGAAAAUUUUUGAAAACUCAACGUCCAAUCAUUGAAUGCCACGCAUCAUAGCUCAACGGCCAAAUUAAGUUCUUAGUUAGAUUUUCUAGUUUCUAAUUGUUGUUUCUAGUUUCAAUUUUGUUGGUUCUAUCACUAAUUAGCAAGCUAGUAACUACCUACUAGUUUGGUAACUAGAUUAAAGUCCGUUUGUUUUGCGUCUUCAAUUUUUUUGUGUUUUUCUCGUUUUCAAAUUCGUAGUGGUUUGUUGGUUCAAGUCCGUACAUCAUUUUAUUUGAGUCAUAUCAAACAAAAAUUGAUUCUGGACCAAAUAAUAUUCACCACUCAUUCACUUGCCGAGUAUUGCCAAGUUUUCAAUACUUAUGAAACUAAGUGUGAGGUAAGAAACGAGUGUGAGAGUGGUGAGGCCUUUUUCGUUUUGUAGGUUUUUGCCUUUGCUGUUUUUUUUGUUCUUUUAGGUACAUUUGUCAUGGGAUCCGAAGGUACUACUUCCCAACCUUUGAGAAAUUAUGCUAUUGGAGCCUUGAUGGCUCGACUUGAGGCCUUGGCCCGAAAAAUAGAUGAUAAUAAUGAUGUUUUAAGGAGUGAUAUAGAUGCUUUUAGGUGAGAUAUGAAGGGUUAUGUGGGAUUAAUGAGGGGUGACAUGACUAGAAUAAAAAUGGGGGUUGAUAGACUAUGUGUACCAAACCCUCCACAAUUGAACCAAGUCCAACAAAAAGGACUUGGUACUCAAAUUCUACCCCAAAAUCCGAACUACUAAAUCCCAAACCCAAUUAACCAAAGACCUUAUCCUUCUCUCCAAAUGCCAUAAAGCCGAAAUCUUCCCAUCCAAAUAGAAGAAGGAGAGGAGUUAUAAACCCAAGAUGAUGAGGCUAAGCCUCAAAAUGGAGAGAAAAUGGAUGGUGAGAUACAAGGAGGAUGUGAAGGAAGGAGGAAAAAGGAAAGGGAAGCCACAGGUAGUGAAAUUAAAAGGGAAAAAUAACACUUGAUUGUGGAUCUUGUCCACAAAGGAUCCUUGAUAUUCACUAACCCAAAAACUAGAAUUUUUCCUAGUAUUUUAUCUUCUCAUGUGCAGGUUCAAGACCCUAGAAUUCUCAAGGAGAAGCCCAAGGAAGUUCCCUUCAAGCCCUUGGCCGAAAAUCCCAAUUUUGGGAUAAGUGAUGAAGAAGUGAGUUCAAAGGGAAACCUUGAGAUAUUCCCUUGUAAUGUUGAGCAUGAAGGCUGCCAUGAUGCAAAACCAAUUGAAUAACACACUUUCCAUGAUCUACAAGGUAACAAAGCUAUCUUCUACACCCCCAGAAACUUGAAUUGUUAUGAUGUGGCUAGUAGUGGCCAAAGUGGUGUAGUUUCAGAUUUGCUUAGUGAAGAAGUGUAUGAAUCUUCCUUUUGUGAUACUCUUGGUGUUGUUAGGUUGCAUAAGUACCAAACUCUUGUUGUGAGUACGCAAACACUAGUUGAUCCUUUAGAUGACAAAAUCAAUUCUUUUCGUAAGAAUGAUUUGUGUCCAUCUAGUGCUAGCACUUAUAACUUGAAUAAGGUUUCAUUACCAAGUGACAAGAGUAUUUACACACUAGUUGAACCUUGUAAAAACCAAGGUGAGUCUACGUUGGUAUGUGAGUUGCUAACAACUAGUGAGGGUGUGCAAAAUAAUCAAUCGGGUGAAGUUUACCUUGAAUUGCUUGAAUAUGUAAGAAACCCGGAUUGUGAUUGUUCUUGUGAACAUGUUUUUGUGUGUGUUCCCUUUGUUGCUCAUGGUGAUUUAUAUCUAUGUGGGGAUUACUCUCUUAAAAUAGAAAGUGGUGCAUGCUUAGAAAUUCCAUCUAUUUCUUCUUUGUGGGUUUCCUAUGUUAAGCAUCCUAGUGGUGAUGGACUUGGAACUAGUGAGUACUUGCAUAAGAGCGCCAUAGUUGAAGUUGAUUUGUGUGAUACUUUUCUCUACUCUCUAUUUGCCUUUGAUGAUAUGUAUGCUAUUGUAGAGAGUAUGUCUUUUAGAUUGGGCGAAGCCUAUGGGGAGAAAGAGUGUUGUCUAGAUCCAUGUCUAAGUUCCAUUUGGCCUUGGUGCCAAAUAUCGAUAUGAUGAUGCUGGCCCACCCAACUUGUUACUUCGUCUACAUGACAAGCAAAGUAUUAUUCUUGAAAACCCGAGGGCAAAUGUGUCAUUGUCGUUUUGGGAUAAUACUUCUAAAUGUGCAUCCUUUCUUGACACAUUUGUGCUUGAAUUGAAUGAAUCCCAACUUGUGGAUGCCAAAUUGAUGUUUAACUUGAAAGAAGGAAGUCAUAUGUGUUUAAAUGACUUGAUUCCAACCUUAUGUGCUAAACCUAUUGAAUCAAUUAGCAUUCUUAUAGAUGAUAGCACCUUGGAUGAUGCCUUUACACUUGAUGCCUUCCUAUACUACCUCUUUUCUUAUGAUGAUAUCCAUGCAAGUCUUGUAUUUGUUUUAUGUAGGGGUAGGACAUUUGUUUGUUGGUCUACUUGGAGUUACAAUGCUAUAUGACUUUUGUGGACCUUUGUAGUUUCCUUACCUCUUGAUGCUUGCCUUAGUCGUGUCCUUUGUGAUGUUUGUGGUAGGUGUUUCCUGAUCAUAACAAAUGAUAGUUAGUUGUAUUUCAAAUGUGUAUCUCCCUGGAGUGUUUCUUUGAACUUGUCUGUUGAAAACCAUGACAUUAACCUUGUUCAUAGUGACCUUGUAUAUAGCAUAGUUAUGUGUAAUGUCUUGGAUAAUUGUGAGUUGGAUCCCUAAGUAAAAGGGAUGAUUAGUCUCGGCUUAUGCCCUUGGUUACUUCGACCCUUUGAUCUCGGUGCAUUCUUGAAGUAUGGGAGGGAUAGCCUCGGAUUAUGUCCAUCCAUUUUUUAUAUUGAUCCUAUUAACUUUCUUUGUGUUAUUUAUGCUAAGUCUUUCAUGUCACAAACAAAGGACCCAUGGAUGUAUGUCAAGUGUGAGCAACCUUGGCUUAUCUAUAUAACUUGUGGUACUAAUGCUAACCUCCUCCCUUGAGGAUUGUGUGAUUGUUUUCCUUUUCUUUGGUUUUACAGGGUGCGAAUUUGAGGACAAAUUCCUUUUAAGAUGGAGUGGAUGAUACAAGCAUGAAGAGCACAAAGAGUACAAGGUCUUGUAGAAGGUUCAAGUUUCAGUUUUUUCAAGUGAUUGAAGACCUUUUUGAAGCCUUUUCAAAACCUUGUCCAAGUGAAGAAAGAAAGAGGGUUCCCAUACUCAAGAAGAACCUCAAGUGAAGGCUAAUAAAGACAUUUUACACUCCAAAAUGACACUCAAGAGGCGCCUCCUUUAAGCCCUCAUUAAGGACAUUUUUGUUAUUUGGCAUGUAAUAGUAUAAAUAGACCAUUUCUUCACUCUUUUCAUUAGAAUUUGAUGAAUUGAAAUUGAGUGUUACUCUUAGUGUAGUUUCUUUCCUUAGUGUAGGGCUUGGAAAAUCCAUCUUAGUGUAAGUCUUGGAAAAUACAUCAAAACUUGAGAGAUUAAUAUAUUUGAUGGAUUUCACUUGUGUUUAUCUAUUAGCAAGAAAGGUGUGAUUGAGGAGUAUGAGUCCUUUGGUCCACCUAAGAGGAAGGUUUGAGCUUCUAUUGGUGAGGUGUGAUUGAUGGUUUGAUACACCAUCUUUUGUUAAUCACUUGGUAGGAGUAAAGGUCUUUCUAUCUAUCUUUACUUUAUGCAUCUCUUCUUCGUCUCCCUUUCUUCUAGUUGCUGUUUUUUAUUUCUUCAGUCCUUAAUUUCGUUUUAGUAGUUGAUUGUUGUAUCACAACCUAAAUCAAAUGACAAGUAGACAGGCAUCAUCACAUAACAAAUUCUCGAUGAAUCAAUAAUACAAUAAUAACAGGUCAAACAGUGCUCACAAACAAGCGACAUAACCAUCAAGAGUAUCAACCAUACUGUAAACAUCCACAGAAUCAACACAAAUAUGUACACACAUGCUAUGGGACUUAUUUUUUCCCAAAUAGUCAGGACCUGUAGGGAAUAAUUUAUGUUCAUGUACCGUACCGGCGUGGUAUCCGAUCCAAUAUAAAUAUAAAUGAACUGGCGUGGUACCCGACCCAACAUAAAUAUAAAUGAGUAUUAUCAAUAUCAAUUUACACAACCUCACAUCAUACAACACAAUGUACCAUGUUUUCAAGUACACUUAAAGUCAUAAGACAAUUCCAUCAAGUCAAUUUCCAAUAAACAUUUAUACACGAAUCAACAAUCCAAACAUCAACGAUUUCAAGCAUGUUCGAAUACCAAUCCACAAGUAUGCAAUUUAGGAGCAUACCCACAAUUAAGUCGAGUCUAAACUCUAAUUAAACCGUAACCUACCUCAACCGAAGAAUUCAAGUGCAAGCUAUUUUGCAAGGGCCUUGCCCUUCCGUUAAGCUUCUGAAUGAUUUAAAUCUGUCCAAACAUAUAAUCCCCAUAAGAGUACUAAUUUAACGACAUCCGUUUUAUAAAUGCUUACUCUAAAAAUUCUAAACCUGAUAAGUAAAUGUCAUAUUAUAACUAACUUUAUCCAAUCUCCUGUACAUCUCUCACUAUUAAAUCAAUUCAACCUAAUUGUAAUAGUAUAACAACGAAUAGAUUUCCAAUCAAUAUCAUGACAUUCCUAGUUGGUAACUGCAAAAGAACACUUGUUCCAAAAGAAGCUUCCCUUGGGAUUGUUUUCCCAGGCAAUUUUCCUUUUUUGCGCUUAUACGUUUUUCUCUGUAUUUGAUGUCAAGUUGGAUUGGAUUUCUCCCUUGGGUGGACUCCAUAUGGGGAUAACUUGUAACUUGUAAAGUCUAGGAAUAAAUUCUUAUUAAGUAAUCGGUAAGCUGAUAUGCCAUUACUGGGUUCCAUCCUAUGGCAAUUAUUGACUCGGGAAUGACCGAAGUCGCUUCACUUCAAAGUAGAGGUUUGUGGUAACGGUGGACGGAUAGAUCAGGUCCAAGGCCUAAGUGCCUAGGUUGAAGUGGUAAAAGUCGCUGCCGAUGGAGUUCCAGCUGCCAGAGUCUUCGAUAAGAAAGAGGCGUCUGAGUAAACAGAAGUGAGAUCUUUCUCUUAUAUUAUAUAGGCUAUUUUGCCUUGAAAUCCCAUUCUAUCCAUCUUAUUCUUCUGUGUAAGUAAAGACUAGCAGGGCAUUCUCUUGCAUCAAUUCCUCUCUCAAUCACGAUGAAAUCUAAGAGCUUGCUCGAAGACAACCUUUACUUUUUAGUAGUAACCUUUCCUAUCCUUUAGGCGGGGAUAGGUUCAUAGGAGGACUUAGUUACAUAGGAAGGAAAGGCUUAAACUAGAAGGGAUAAGAAAGGGAAUUACACUAUAUCUUGGCAAUGGCACUCCAACAAGCUCGGUAGGGAGAGAAAGAAGAGAAGGAGAAGAGGAAGUACGACGAAAAGGGUAUGAAAUAGGUUUCUUGUAGCGAUUGUGAUUGCUUAUUUGGUUGGGAUUACCAGCCUGGCCAAAGAAUAAGAUAAAAAGAAGAGUUCCCGCCUACGACUACAUGCCCAUUAAGAGAUAUACCUGGAGUCGAGCUAACUGCAUAGGCAGAGGGGAACUUUCCUAAAAAGCCUAAUAGUAAUUAACCGCAUUAGAAACAACGAAUCACACUCUGAAAUGAGGUUCCCUCCCAAUAGAUGUCAGGAGGGAGCAAGGCGUGAUUGCUCUGUCAUCCUCCGACCGCCCCCCUUUCCACCUCGAAGUAGUGGUGUUGGUGUGUCUCGUACCAAUCAUUCCGGUCAAUCCCUUUCCUGAACCAUAGGUAAGGGAUGACAGGAGAUGGCCCCUAUAGCAAAAUAAGCCAGCCCCUCAUUUGAGAGAGUAAAUAGAAUAGUAUCGGGCUUAUGACAGUCUGACUUUUGAACGACUUAGCAACUACUAAGCUCCCGCCCACCCCCAACUAAUUAGGGUAAAGUGUUCAUUUAUACCUUCAACAGCACCGAGAUAUUGGCCCAUGACCAUGUUUACUUCAUCUUCAAGAGAAAGCAUCCUGGCUCUCAGGGCCUCAGGCAAGCCUGGAUCCUUUCCUACUUCCUUAGUGAUUCCAAGAAGAUGCUUCAACCCUGUUAAGUUUUAGCUGGCUAUCACGGUCUAAUAAAGAUUUCCAAUUUUGUUUUGGAAUAUUUUCAUUCGGGAUUAGAACGACCUAUAUUGUAAGGGAGGAGAGAAGGUAAACCAGGUUCCUUUGGUCGCCUUGCCCGUCUAGUCGAGUAGCUUUUGCUCCUUCCUACUUACUUUAUUAUAAUAUAAGCUUAAGCUGCUACGUGGCCUAUUGGGAGCUUUUUAGUCAUAGUGGGAGCUUUCGAAAAUCACUUAGCAGGUCAAGAUCAUAGGAAGAGGGAAGAACAAGGGGGAAGAUCUUAUUUAAAAGAAGACGAUUCCAAAAGAAAGUCAAAACGGGGAAUAGGAUGCCUUAAAGGUAAAUAAGAAAGAUCCUAAAUAAAAAAGAAAAUAGCUAUGAAACCGAUUACAAAAAUACCAGUUAUAGUACCUAUUAUCCAAAGAGGAAUCCUUCCAGUAGUAUCGGCCAUUUACCCCACUUCCCUCCAGAUUUCAUAAAGUGGUCAUGAUUGAGACACAAACAGCCUUGGAUAAUUGAAUUAUGAGAUGCUUCCGAACGAGCUAAGAGAAUCUUAUUUAUUCUCUUUCGUUUUGUUAAUUGAAGAAAUAAUUGGAAAAUCAAAAAGCAAGUACAAAAAUGAGUAAUAACCCCCUGGUACGAUGAAAUUCAACAUUUUGUUCGUUCGGGUUUGUCGGUGUUGAUUGUGUCGUAGCUCUAUAAUCCGGAUGUUCUUUAUCAUUGGAUGAACUAUUGAUAUUGAUCCCUAAAAAAAGAUGGUAGGUACAGCUAGGCCGUGAACAACCAACCAUCGUACUGUAAAAAUUGGAUAGGUUCGAUCUAUAGUCAUUAGGGCCUCCUAAAACGAUCGACUAAAUUCAUCGAGUUGUUCCAAAGGAUCAAAAUGGUCAAUUAUUAAUGAAAUUACUUGUCGGCUCUCUGUAAAAUACUCGUUUGGCUGAGGGCUUCCAAAUACAUCGUAAGGUAAAUCAGUGCUGACAAAUAACCAACCCGCAAUGAAUAGGGAAGGUAUAGUAAUACUAUGAAUGACCCAGUAUCGAAUACUGGUAAUAAUAUUAGCAAAUGAACGUUCUCCUGUGCUUCUAGACAUGCUGAGCUCCACAUAUUCUUGUACAGUCAAAGAGGAUCGAUUCCGUAAAAGAUGAGAUCAGUAAAUGACAAUUCAUUGAAAUUUAAUCUUUGUGAGAUCGUCGAUAUUGUACCGAGGGCGUCUUUAGAGUAUACCGAAUCAGUAUAACUAUCCUUCUUCUGACACAGCAACGCAAUUUGAAUUAGUAUCAAAAGUAAGUACUAAA